rnacentral:rRNA from 1 species
CCAGCAGCCCGCGGUAAGACGGAGGGGGCGAGCGUUGUCCGGAUUUAUUGGGCGUGAAGAGCGCGUAGGCGGCCCGUUAAGUCGGCUGUGAAAUCGCUGGGCUCAACUCAGCAACUGCAGUCGAUACUGGUGGGCUCGAGUUCGGGAGAGGGAAGUGGAAUUGCUGGUGUAGCGGUGGAAUGCGUAGAGAUCAGCAAGAACACCGGUGGCGAAGGCGACUUCCUGGACCGAUACUGACGCUGAGGCGCGAAAGCUAGGGGAGCGAACGGAAUUAGAUACCCCGGUAGUCCUAGCCGUAAACGAUGGUCACUAGGUGUUGGGGGUAUCGACCCCUCCAGUGCCGCAGCUAACGCAUUAAGUGACCCGCCUGGGGAGUACGGCCGCAAGGCUGAAACUCAAAGGAAUUGACGGGGGCCCGCACAAGCGGUGGAGCAUGUGGCUCAAUUCGAGGCUACGCGAAGAACCUUACCAGGGCUUGACAUCUGCGGAAUCCUGCUGAAAAGCGGGAGUGCCCUUCGGGGAGCCGCAAGACAGGUGGUGUAUGGCUGUCGUCAGCUCGUGUCGUGAGAUGUUGGGUUAAGUUCCGCAACGAGCGCAACCCUCGUCCUAUGUUGCCACCAGUUCGGCUGAGCACUCAUAGGAGACUGCUAGAGCAAUCUGGAGGAAGGUGGGGAUGACGUCAAGUCCGCAUGCCCCUUACGUCCUGGGCUGCACACAUGCUACAAUGGGCGGUACAGAGGGAAGCAAGACCGCGAGGUGGAGCCGAUCCCAAAAAACCGUCCUCAGUUCGGAUCGGAGUCUGCAACUCGACUCCGUGAAUGUCGGAAUCGCUAGUAACCGCAGGUCAGCACACUGCGGUGAAUACGUUCCCGGGCCUUGUACACACCGCCCGUCA